GGCUCUGCACUGGAGGCAGUGAUUUUGGGGCAGAGAAUUUUGCAACACGUGGUAGUGAACUGUGAGGAGUUUGAGGGGUCUGAAGACUGAAAGAGUCGAAUGGUUUGUUGGCAGGGUGUCCUGGUGGAUUGGUUUCUGUAAGUUCAGAUUCUCAUAAAUCGUGUGAGCGUCGCCGACACCUCUGAGAUAAAAGGGCCCCUUUCGACUAGCCUCUGCUGAAAGGUAGAGUUUUCAGGAAGUUUUUAUUCCGAACUGCCCAUGGGAGGGUGGGACCGUCUUCAAUCUCUGAGCCAGGUGCCUAGGGAGGUCUGGGGCCAUGGAGAUGGCCCAUGGAGCAAAGAUAAAUCCAGGCUUAUUGGCUUAGCCGAGGUGUUUCCAGAGACAGCCCAUUUAGGGGUGAUAAAUGGGCUUAUAAAGCAGAGUAAAGAUUUAGAACAGGAGUUUUGAAUUCAACUACUUUGUGGCUAUAUGACCCUAGGCAACUUGUUUAAUAACUCAGAGACCCUGUUUUCUCAUGCAAAAUGGGGACGAUAAUACCUGAAUCACUGGAGUGUUGUAAUGAUUAAAAAUAAAUGUAUGUGAAGCAUUCUGCCAGGAAAUGUAAACUAAAGUUGAUUUGAAAUUGGUGAAAAUGAAGUUAGGGAAGCUAUGCCCUCGGACUGUU
rnacentral:lncRNA from 10 species